rnacentral:rRNA from 1 species
AUUGAACGCUGGCGGCAUGCCUUACACAUGCAAGUCGAACGGCAGCGAACCUUCGGGUGUCGGCGAGUGGCGAACGGGUGAGUAAAGUAUCGGAACGUACCAUUCAGUGGGGGAUAACGUAGCGAAAGUUACGCUAAUACCGCAUAUUCUGUGAGCAGGAAAGCAGGGGAUCGCAAGACCUUGCGCUGAUUGAGCGGCCGAUAUCAGAUUAGCUAGUUGGUGAGGUAAAAGGCUCACCAAGGCGACGAUCUGUAGCGGGUCUGAGAGGAUGAUCCGCCACACUGGGACGUGAGACACGGCCCAGACUCCUACGGGAGGCAGC